rnacentral:rRNA from 1 species
GAUGAACGCUGACAGAAUGCUUAACACAUGCAAGUCUACUUGAACUUCGGUUUGGGUGGCGGCCGGGUGAGUAACGCGUAAAGAACUUGCCUCACAGAUAGGGACAACAUUUGGAAACGAAUGCUAAUACCUGAUAUUAUGAUCUUAGGGCAUCCUAGAAUUAUGAAAGCUAUAUGCACUGUGAGAGAGCUUUGCGUCCCAUUAGCUAGUUGGAGAGGUAACGGCUCACCAAGGCGAUGAUGGGUAGCCGGCCUGAGAGGGUGAUCGGCCACAAGGGGACUGAGACACGACCCUUGCUCCGACGGGAGGCAGCAGUGGAGAAUAUUGGACAAUAGACCAAGAGUCUGAUCCAGCAAUUCUGUGUGCACGAUGAAGUUUUUCGGAAUGAAAAGUGCUUUCAGUUGGGAAGAAAAAAAUGACGGUACCAACAGAAGAAGUGACGGCUAAAUACGUG